CCGGAAUAUUGGCCGAAGGGGAUAAGGAAGACCGAAGGGAACGAGAACGAUGACGGCAUCCAUCUGCCUCCCCGCAGCCGCACUCCUUCCUCCUUCCUCUGUCUAUCCUCCAAAUUCCCGCCGCUUCUGUCACCCCUCUCCCUUGUCUCCAUCAGCUUAUUCGAGUCGGAAGACCAGGAUCUACGCGGGGGCCGAACGGCCUCUGGAGGAGGUGUAUAACGUCCGGGUGGAGCGAGGGUUAUCGCCGGAGCGUAAAUCGGAGCUAGGCGUCGGCAAAUGGUCGAUCUGGAAGACCGGCGGGCCUUGCCACCUCCCCUGGGACUGGCACGUGGACCAGCAGGUGUACGUGGUCAGCGGCGAGGUCCGGGUGGUUCCCGAGGGCGCCAAAUCCGGCGAGCGCUACAUGCGCUUCGUUGCAGGAGAUCUUGUACGGUAUCCAAAGUGGUUUGAGGCUGACCUCUUCUUCAACGGCCCUUAUGAGGAGCGUUACAGAUUCCUUGCUUACGGUGACGAGUGAAGCAGCCCUAAAUGUUGAGUAAAAACUGCAGGUGCACAACCGGAAAGCUAGUAUCAAGCGUGCAAUCACAACUAUGAAUUCAAACAACGUCGACUUGCAUUUAUCUUCUCUGUGUGCCUGCUAUGCGCUAGGUUUACUGAACAAUAUUGAUAGAGAAGGAUUAUGGAACAACAUCUUGGCUGCUCUGCUUCUGAAAUCGACAAGAGAGAGCACUAAACAGAGAAUAGGGAGGGAGAAGAGAAGAGAAGAAAAAUAAGACAGAAGAGGGCUCGAAAUAUAUAACAGGUAAAAAAAAAAAAAAAAAC